rnacentral:rRNA from 1 species
GACGAACGCUGGCGGCGUGCUUAACACAUGCAAGUCGAACGGGUCUGCCCUGUUUUUUGCGGGGUGGGUCAGUGGCGAACGGGUGAGUAACACGUGAGUAACCUGCCCCUCACUUCUGGAUAACCGCUUGAAAGGGUGGCUAAUACGGGGUGUUCUGGCUGUGCCGCAUGGUGUGGCUGGGAAAGAUUCACUUUUGUGGUGUUUUGGUGGGGGAUGGGCUCGCGGCCUAUCAGCUUGUUGGUGGGGUGAUGGCCUGCCAAGGCUUUGACGGGUAGCCGGCGUGGGAGGGUGGGCGGUCACACUGGGACUGAGGUACGGCCCGGACUCCUGCGGGAGGCAGAAGUGGGGGGUAUUGAACAGUGGGCGGAAGCCUGAUGCGGCGACGACGCGUGAGGGAUGGAGGCCUGCGGGUUGUGAACCUCUUUCGCCGGUGAAGAAGGGCCUGCUCUUUGGGGUGGGGUUGACGGUAGCCGGGUUAUGAAGCGCCGGCUAACUACGUG